rnacentral:rRNA from 1 species
CACGUAGGACGCAAGCGUUGUCCGGAAUUAUUGGGCGUAAAGAGCUCGUAGGCGGUCUGUUGCGUCCGCUGUGAAAACUCGGGGCUUAACCCCGAGCCUGCAGUGGAUACGGGCAGACUAGAGGUAGGUAGGGGAGAAUGGAAUUCCCGGUGUAGCGGUGAAAUGCGCAGAUAUCAGGAGGAACACCGGUGGCGAAGGCGGGUCUCCGGGCCAUUACUGACGCUGAGGAGCGAAAGCGUGGGGAGCGAACAGG